GCCUCCGUAGCUCAAUUGGAAGAGCAGCUGACUCUUAAUCAGUUGGUUGUAGGUUCGAGUCCUACCGGGGGUACCA
rnacentral:tRNA from 2 species